GUUAAAGCUUGGUCGCAAAUGGGUCUUCCAAAAGGACAAUGACCCCAAGCAUACUUCCAAAGUUGUGGCAAAAUGGCUUAAGGACAACAAAGUCAAGGUAUUGGAGUGGCCAUCACAAAGCUCUGACCUCAAUCCUAUAGAAAUUUGUGGGCAGAACUAAAAAAGUGUGUGUGCGAGCAAGAAGGCCUACAAACCUGACUCAGUUACACCAGCUCUGUCAGGAGGAAUGGGCUAAAAUUCACCCAGCUUAUUGUGGGAAGCUUGUGGAAGCUUACCCGAAACGUUUGACCCAGGUUAAACAAUUUAAAGGCCAUGCUACCAAAUACUAAUUGAGUGUAUGUACACUUCUGAGCCACUGGGAAUGUGAUGAAAGAAAUAAAAGCUGAAAUAAAUCAUUCUCUUUACUAUUAUUCUGACAUUUCACAUUCUUAAAAAAAAGUGGUGAUCUUAACAGGCCUACAACAGGGAAUUUUUACUUGGAUUAAAUGUUAGGAAUUGUGAAAAACUGUGUUUAAAUGUAUUUGGCUAAGGUGUAUGUAAACCUCUGACUUCAACUGUAUAUAUGAGAACUGUUUAGUUCCAAAAAUAAAGGGUUUAAAUACAUGUAAAAAAAAAAAAAAAAAAAAAUUUUUUUUUUAAGUGUUUCCUAAUCUUUCUUAUAUAUAUUCCUUGAGAUUUGUAUAUGUUGUUCCAUGUAGUGAAUCUGUUAUACAAUGCGUUUGUAUAGGCUAAUAGCAGUAAGGACAAAUAAAUAAAAAAUAUAUAGUUCAACGGGUCUUAAAAUUCAAAAUCCAGUAGCAAAAUGAUCCUUGGUAUGACCUUCUUAAAGCAAUUCCAUAUAGUUUAGUAGAACCCCCCCAGACAGGGUUUAUACUGUAAUGGUUUAACUCAUUUAGCGUCUGGUGAUGUCACCAGGUAGGUAAAAACUCCAUUCCACCAAAACAGGCUGAAAUGUCAGGUGUUCUUGUCAAACAACUCUUACACUAAAAAUGUAUUAUCAUGAUUUUCACAAUUUCAAACUAUUAUUCCAACCUCUUAGUUUGGAAAUAUAUAUAAAACACAGGAAAUCAAGUUUUGACUGCACUGGGCCUUUAACUCUAAUCAAGCUUUGUGACUGUGUUAUGGUGUUAGUGGCACACAGCCAAGCUGUGAUAUCUUUAAUCCAAC
ensembl:lncRNA